AACGAACGCUGGCGGCAGGCUUAACACAUGCAAGUCGAGCGCCCCGCAAGGGGAGCGGCAGACGGGUGAGUAACGCGUGGGAAUCUACCUAUCUCUACAGAAUAACGCAUGGAAACGUGUGCUAAUACCGUAUACGUCCUUCGGGAGAAAGAUUUAUCGGAGAUGGAUGAGCCCGCGUUGGAUUAGCUAGUUGGUGGGGUAAAGGCCUACCAAGGCGACGAUCCAUAGCUGGUCUGAGAGGAUGAUCAGCCACACUGGGACUGAGACACGGCCCAGACUCCUACGGGAGGGAGCAGUGGGGAAUAUUGGACAAUGGGCGCAAGCCUGAUCCAGCCAUGCCGCGUGAGUGAUGAAGGCCCUAGGGUUGUAAAGCUCUUUCACCGGUGAAGAUAAUGACGGUAACCGGAGAAGAAGCCCCGGCUAACUUCGUGCCAGCCGCCGCAGUAACAC
rnacentral:rRNA from 1 species